rnacentral:lncRNA from 1 species
GUUUACUUGAUUUGUUGUUAUGUUUCAAUUGUGCUGCCUGUGACUUGAGAAAGGUAGCUUGGUGAAUCUAAGGAUCCAAACCUAUAGUUUUUACACCACUAAGCUAUAUGCUUAGCGAUAGUUGUUUCUAUCGUAGGGUAUGAUCGAGAGGAGGCAUGAAGUUGGCCAUUGGAUAUGGAGAUUUUGAGAGCCUUAAGGAAGAUCAUAUUUGCGUAUAGGCAUCUAUAUUUUGUAUAAACCUUGGGACUUCUACAUGAUCUAUGUGUUGUAUAUUUACAUGAAAUUUUGAGGGC